ensembl:lncRNA
GUUUCCUGUGCUGCAUCAAGACAAACGUGACUAGCAGGUCAGGGGAAGUGUCCACAGCACAAGAAAGACAGCGAGCUGUUGCAGCAGGUCCUCUGAUGCUGAGCACCAUGCCUCCAGGUGGCUGUGCUGACCGGGCCUUUCUCAAUGCCCCAUUCGGCUCUGGAACAAGGUCAGCAAGGCUGUUGUUCCAGAUGGCCCAAAGCAGCAACCCUCAGGCACCAAGAGGAAACCCUUCAGCUUUGCAAAAUCCCCACUGUGGCGGAGACACUUGGAGAGGGACAACAACAGUGACAGCUCAUCAGGCGGAUGCAGUCCUGCACCGGGUCUUCAUGGGGGGUCCCAUGAACAUAUUGAGGCAGUGUUGCUGUUGUGACACAAUGCAACCCCCGGAAAAGGAUGAACGUUCACAGCAAAAAAGACUCAGCCUUCAUCCAACGACUACCAGAGACACCCACCACAUCUUUAGGACGCGUGCUUAAGAGGGUGAUACAACAUGUCAGUAAUUUCUCAGAAUUCCAGCCCAUUUUUUUUUGGAAUGUAACAAAUAUGUCUAUGUUAUGUCUUUAAAUAUGUAACCACUGCUGUUCUCAGUGUGCGAGUAAGGAAUUAUCCCCCUCACACAUGGUGCCACAAUAAAUAUACCUACUUUAAAAUCUUAUGUGGGUUAUGGUCUUUGAUUCCGCAUGUUACCCGUAUGCUAACGUGGUGAGCCUGCAAGCUUGCUUGGCAGCACUGAGCAGCAGCAGGUCAACCAGGAUGAUACUAAGGGCCACAAACUGCCUCCAGCUAUGAGAGACUGAACGGCUCGGGUUGGG